AGUGAACGCUGGCGGUAGGCCUAACACAUGCAAGUCGAACGGCAGCACAGUAAGAGCUUGCUCUUACGGGUGGCGAGUGGCGGACGGGUGAGGAAUACAUCGGAAUCUACUUUUUCGUGGGGGAUAACGUAGGGAAACUUACGCUAAUACCGCAUACGACCUACGGGUGAAAGCAGGGGAUCUUCGGACCUUGCGCGAUUGAAUGAGCCGAUGUCGGAUUAGCUAGUUGGCGGGGUAAAGGCCCACCAAGGCGACGAUCCGUAGCUGGUCUGAGAGGAUGAUCAGACCCACUGGAACUGAGACACGGUCCAGACUCCUACGGGAGGCAGCAGUGGGGAAUAUUGGACAAUGGGCGCAAGCCUGAUCCAGCCAUACCGCGUGGGUGAAGAAGGCCUUCGGGUUGUAAAGCCCUUUUGUUGGGAAAGAAAAGCAGCAGGUUAAUACCCCGCUGUUCUGACGGUACCCAAAGAAUAAGCACCGGCUAACUUCGUG
rnacentral:rRNA from 1 species